AAAGUGCAGUGCUAUAGUUGUGAGCCACUGUGCCUUGCCAAGUCACUUUGUGUGAGGUUCUGGGGCUGGGUGUGAUGGUUCACACCUAUCCCAGUACUUUGGGAGGCGAAGCAGACGAGGUCGCGAGGUCAGAGAUCAAGACCAUCCUGGCUAGCAUGGUGGAAGCCCGUCUCUACUAAAAAUACAAACCAAAAUUAGGCGGUGUGGUGGCUGAAUGCCUGAUCCCAGCCGCAGGCUAAGGCAGAAGAAUGGCGUGAACCCGGGAGGCGGAGCUUGCAGUGAGCCAAGAUCACACCACUGCACUCCAGCCUGGGCAACACAGUGAGACUCCAUCUCAAAAAAAAAAAAAAAAAAAAUGAGAUUCUGAUCCCUGUACUUGGAGAAAUUGUUGAGAAUAGAAUCAGGCACUAUCACCAUAAGUUGAGGGAAUGGCUCUUGUGGGGGUGGUCUCUUGAGUUUUUUCUGCCUCAGUGGGGAUGGCAGGAUGACAGAAAAUAGCUCUAAUCAAGGUUGGCCUAAUUUGUUUUGGCCCCUGAGUCCUCCAGGGAAAGACUUGUAGCCUGGAUGUCAGGCUUUUUUUUUGUAGGUCCAGAGCUCACCUUGAGGAAGGGAAUAGUUGGUGAGAGAUCUUCUGUAUGUUUAUGGACAGAAAAAGUUGCGUUCUUUGUUCCCAGGGAAUGUUCCAGAACUUCCAGCAUUAGUCAGAAGGAGCUAUUUCCAUUUUCAGCUCAGAAGCCAUAUUCUCCAAAAUCUGGAACAUGGAGAUUUCACAGCCCUCAUGUUCCGGAUAGUUCACUCAAAGCUUGGGAGUUGGAGAUGAGGCAAUCAACAGAUGCUGACACCAGCAUGGAGGAGAGAUUGCGGCUGAUCUGGAGGUAUGAUUGGGAGAGGUUGAGAAGCCUUUCAAGGGUGUCCCUGAUGUGGGAGGGCACAAGCAAAGGCCCAGGGGCAUGGAACUGCCCAGUAGAUUCCAGAAGAGAACUACCAUUGCAUACAGCGGAGUGUACAAUAACAGGGUAG
rnacentral:lncRNA from 1 species